GAACUCUAUGGAUAGGAAGAGAGAUCAUGCAGAUGGGCUAGAUAUCAGUCAGCUGGGGUACAGAUAAGAGGGUGUCCCUGAACAGGAGGUUCUGCUUUAAAGGGGACUUGGUUUGCCACUGAUUGAUGCUUUCACUUCCAUAAGGCUUCCACGUGUGCAGAGAUGUUCAGCUUGAAUGAGUGGGAGGGUAAGAAAGGAGUAUCUGGAAGAGACUCCAAAGAAAGACUGGGGAAAUGCGUGGAGCAGGGAAAUGAAGGCAGACACGUCACAUGUUACAAGCUGAAAUCCAAAGGGGACAGUGAGAGGAUAAGGAAAAAAAAGGAGACAAACUUGGAAGCCUCUUCACAAGAGGAUUAUCUCUGCAGUCCAGUUUGGAAAAGAAACCAGGGGAAGUUUGUACUGACAGAAAGAGGUCCUAUUGCUUAUCUGGAAAUUGAACUGAGGUCCACCAUCUAUCAAAUGAAUACACCAUCAGAAAGAGAGAGAAAGAUGAAUUAAAGAAAUUUAAUUAUACUAUCUGUCUCUCUGUGGGAGUAAGAAAAUGAAGGCCCUGCUACCUGCCAUCACUUGUGCUGUCACGCUUCUCUUCUUUCUUCUCCUGCCCAGCAGUAGCUGUCAGAAGGACUUUCUGAACCAGUGUCAGAGGUGGAACUACAGGGAAGGAGCAGACAAGGUCAACAUCCAAGGCAUUAAAAGUCUCACUCGUACCCUAGAAAAAUGGGGGAACAGCAUCUUCUGGCAAAUGAAAUACUCCUUGCUGAAUAAUCCUAAUGCUCUGCUGCCUGAGUUCUCCAGCCUCCGUCCUGUCUCCGCAGCAGUAGAUGACCUCCUGAGGGAAGUCCGUUCAAUUACAAAGAGGCUGGCCGAGCUGAAUGAACGACUCAGGAUAAUAAGCAAGACCAUCUCUCCAAUCCGAUACAAUGCCCUGAGGAGUCAGAGGCUGAGCAGUGUUCAGCUACAGAGACUCCCGUUUCAUCAGAGGAGGAGGAUGUAUAUCCGCAGGAGGCCUCAGAGGAAUUAGCUGUCUUCCAGAAAAAAACCCCCAAACAUUUCUAUCUUUUCUUGUCCUCAACCCUUUUAUCAGUGAGAGACUGUUAUCCUGAUCAAGUAAAACAUAUAUGACCGAGUAUCUGGAUUGUUCACAAGACUUGCUUAGGAGUUCUGGUUUAUAGAAUGCCUUUCAAAUCUAAGUUGUUGGGCCAGAUCCAGCAGAAUUUGUUGGUGAUGACUGUUUUUAUGAUCCAUGCUAAAUGAUUAGGUAAUCUAAAAUCAGUUAGGUCUGUUUGUCCUGCACCCUCACAUGUUUUCUAGAUGGGUGAGAGUGAUUUUUUGUAAUCAUCAGAUUCACUUGUUUCUCUUCCCUACUUCACAGAACACUAUGAGUUAAAGGACAGAGGGAUAAUGCACACAUAUGGUCUCAGGCCAAUAUUUUCUGAUGUAAGUUACUUCACACGUAGGGACACAUACAGAAAUGAUUUGCUUUUUCAGAUAUGCUGAGCCUCCCGCAGCUACCAAUGGCAUCAGUAGGAACAGGAAUGUAUUAGCUUCUUUGAAAAAUCAGACCUGGGAUCUAGAGGGGAGCAGUUAUGUUUUAAAAUGCUAGCCUUUGCCUACUAACCAUUCCUAUAAAGUAUGUUCUGUUGAGGAGAAGUUAAAUUUAAAAGUAUGUAAGGGAUAAGAAACACCACAAGGCCUUGUUGGCCUAAGUCUUCACACAUUACUAGUGGUUUAGAGUGCAUUGGUACUAUAUUUAAUGUUGAAUUUGAGAUACACUUUAAGGACUUGAUUUUUAGAAAGUGCUGAGCAAUGCAUCCACCCUUGAAAAUCUGGUACUUCUAGGUAUCCCAAAUUGGACACUAAAAUCACUAAUCAUGUCUGAAAAUGUAGGUCCUGACCUUUACAGGUCAAAAUCAGGGCUGACUGCAUUGGGUUUGUGGGAUAAAGCACACUGGUUGCUGGAGCUAACCUCACAUAAGGGAAGGGUGCCAGAAAUGGGACAGGGGACCCAUUUCUAAUUAUGUCAACUGGGGUGCCACCUUCAGCACAAGUCCAGAGCAGGGUUUGAAUCAUGACUGUGGAAGCACAGUAAAAUGCUGUAACUGCUGUCACCCCAUCCCUGUCUAACUCUAACCACUAUAUAGUACUACAUAAAACACCACAUUAAUUACUGAACUACCACGUUCAGGCAUUUUAUUUUAAGUGGAUUUAAAUGUGUUAGGCAUCUGGCAAGUCAGAUUACUAGCACUCUUAGCUGCCUGGCAGGUGCUUCUUUUUGAUUGAAGAAAAUGAAAAUUCUUCUUUCCACUGAGCUUCUAUUAUGAAGUUCUCUUAAAAUCUGAUACCAUAAGAAGCUCUACUUAAGAGACAGGCUCACAGCAGAGGAGGGCCUACACAAGAUCUAUGUAUCACUUCAGUUCUAUGAAACAUGCAAAAUAUGGCUGAAGUGGGACCUGGAUGGUGUACAGCUCCCAAGUAGUCCCUUGGCACAGACGUGCAUUUUUCCAAACAAAAAAAUGUUGAUCCUAAAUUGGAAAUGGAUGAUCAGUUUCAGCCUCUGAAAGUGUGUGUGUAUAUACAUACUCAUACACACACAUACUUUGUCUAUAAGGUGUAAAUCUAUCUUGCCUUCUACAGGACAGAAUAAACAAGAUACUGGAAAUAUAUAUAUUUUUUCUUUCCGUAGCUGGGGUGGGGGAAGCAUUCUCCUCCCCAGAAGGUGAAAGGAGUUGACUGAGCAAUAUUUAAAGACUUUUGCUGGAUUAAUAUAAACUAACAGCAUGAACUAGGGAAGUCCAAAAGAAACUGUCCAUUCUUGCAAAACUCUGGCGAAAGUCACAUGCAAUACUGAAUUCUGUUCUGGUGAACUGUACAUCUGAAAUAUCUUAAUGAACUGGCUGGGGACUCCGAAGUUUCUGGAAAGGUCUGAUGGAAUAAAAUUAAAGAACUAAUUAGAUCUAGAUUGCUACUAGGAAUAAUGGCCACAAAUGUUAGGGAGAAGGUUAAGGGGACAUUACUUUACCAUCAGAGCUGCCAUGCUCUGGAAUGGGCUCCCAAGUGAGGUGGUGCUCUCUCCUACCUUAGGGGUCUUCAAGAGGAAGCUGGACAGAUAUUUGGCUGGGGUGAUAUGAUUGCAGCACCCGUUCCAGCCUGGAGCAGGGGGCCAGAUCUGAUGAUCUGUUUUUAAGUCCCUUCCGACCCUAAGCACUGUGAAACUAUGAAACUUGUAGCCAUUCCACCAACCUACCAACUGUUUACAAACAUUCUGCAGAUGUAAAUGCUAAGGAGGCAGACUAGCUAUUUAAAAGGCUUUCCAAAGGCUGACUGUCAGGGGAAAAGGAUUAAUUACACUAAAAUAAUCUCAGAAGGGAACUGGGGGAAACACUUUUCAUGUGGGUUAUUUUAAACUGAGCUAUGUAAAAUAACAUAGGAGGACUGUCAAAGUUGCUAUUAGGUCUAAUAAACAGAAUGUCAUCCAUAGGGAUCAAAUUUGACAUUGGUAGUGAGGUGGUGGCAGUGUUGGGAGUGGACAAGAUGAACUAAUAGAUAUUUUCCAUGCACAAAUUCUAUGAGGCCCUGCUUUUAGAAAACAACAAACCCUGUACUUGGGGGGUCUCUUGCUAGCUUUACUUGGGGAUUGCUAAAACUUAGUUAAAUGAGUAAUAGUUUUAGAAAUAAAUAAUCUUGCAACUCUGCAAGGGUUGGACUAAAUGACCCUGAAGUCUUUCCAACCCUAUAAUUCUAUGAAAAGGCUAAUAGGAACGUGCCAUUGUCUCUCUGAACGAAUUGGUUCUAUUCUACCUUUCCUGUUAAAUGAUGAAGACAAUUUUAUAGUCCAAAUCAUUUAUGUAAAUAUAUUUCAUCAUAUUCUCUGUUGCUUUAUAUAAUCUGUUAUCACAUUGUAUCAUCAACUGUGUGUCUGCAUAGAACUCCCAUUCUUUGUAAUGGGAAUAUUUUGCACAUAAUAGCUUCAAGAUCAGCAUUAUGGUUGUAAAGGCUUUUAACCACUUGGUGAUAUCUAGAUAUAAGACACCAUGUAAAUGUCAAGUUUUUAUAUUUGGUUGUAAUAUGGGCAUGGAGAUCCCAUUGCCAGACAUCCUAAACUAGUACAGAUUGAACACUUUGGUCAGAUGGGUAACAAUUUCCCAACCCUAUAAAGGUAGUUCAGAAGAUACAAUAGUGAAUAAACUCAAAGUG